GGGAUAUUGUAAGAUGUUAUUAAUACGGACGCCGAUAACUGGCGAACGUUCGGUCUAGGGAGGGACCAGACCGAACGACUCGUUCGUGCUGGAGUAGUGAAGGACCGAACAAACUCGUUCGGUGGAAAAGAACCUCCAGCCCGAACGCCUCACCCCCCCUAACGAUCAAACUUGUCGUUACGCAAAACACACGAUCCAGUAGAGAAAGUGGGCCUACAGGCCUUUUUCCUGUGAAAAGAAAAACGAAAAAUAAAGCCCAUAUUGAGUUAUGACUAGUAAAAAGCUCAGUUUCCUGUGACUAAUAAACACUGGUCUUUUGCACGACAAAAAUGUCAUUGACUAUUGGCAUUCUAUGAAAUAAAUUGCCAUGUUCAAGUUUAUGUUUUCAAAAAUGGCACAAAAAAAGGAAGAAGUUCAUGGCAAUCUGCAUCGCUACGGUAUGAAAAGUUGCCAUCACUACGAAAUUUACAAAAAAACAAAAAAGUUGCCAUGAAGUGAUAUGAUGAAAAAGGUUCUGUGUAGACACAUAGAAAAAAUUCAGAAAAAAUAUAAAGAAAACAUCUUAAGUUGUAAUGAUAUCGUUCAUGUAAUCCCCAUGGCAAAACAAAUUUCAAAGGAUCAAAACUUUUUGCCAUGGCAAAAACAAAUUUGAAAAAACAAACUUGCCGUAUUCUCAAACUAAUUUGUAAAAAUGGCCAUGACUAACAUUCUACGGAUGGACAUGGCAAAAAGACACAACGAACCAUGGCAAAAAAUGCAUUUAGUUGCCAUGGAAAAAUUCGCAUCUAUAAACAAAUACUGAUUUUAGUUGCCAUGGCAAGUUUGCCAUGGGUUUGAACAUCUUAGCUUGCCAUGUUUUUUAACAUCUUUAGUUGUCAUAGCAAGUUUGUCAUGUUCAUGUUUGCCAUCUAUUUGUACAAACUUAAUUAAAACAGAAGUUUGCCUUGUUUUUGCACAUCUUAAGUUUGCCAUGGCAAGUUUGUAAAAUGUAUUUGACAUCUUAAAUUGCCAUGUUUUUGAACAUCUUUUGUUGCCAUGGCAAGUUUGCAUGUUUGUGAACAUGUUAAUUAAAAAAAGUUUGCCAUGUUUUUGAACAAACUUAAUUAAAAGAAGUUACCAUCUUUUUGCACACAUUAAAGUUUGCGAUGUUUUUGAACAUUUUAAAAUGCCAUGGAAAAUUUGCCAUAUUUUUGAACAUCUACAAAGUUUGCCAUGUUUUUGAACAUCUAAAGUUACCAUGGAAAAGUUUGCCAUGUUUUUGAACAUCUAUAACUUUUCCAUGGCAAGUUUGCAUGUUUUUUGACAAGUUAAUUAAAGAAGUUUUCCAUGCCAUAAAUGGAGUCAAAUUUGCCAUGGCAAAAAUGUAGUACUUUUGCCAUGGAAAUAACUUAAAAAUAUCAUGGCUACACAAUUAUACAUAGUAAAAGUUGCCAUGUUCUAUAAACGCAAAUUUGCCAUAAUAUUUAAAUAAAAAUUGCCAUGCUCUUUACAAUAAAUUUGCCAUGGCAACUUAGAAGAAAAUUUGCCACGGCGACUUAAUCCAAAAUUUGCCAUGUGAAAAUGAAAGUAUUUUUUUCCAUGGCAAAAAAUCAAGUUAAAUUUGCCAUGGCAAAAAUGGAGUAAAAUUUUGCCAUGGUAACUUAAAAUAAAAUUUGCCAUGGCAACUUAAUCUAAAAUUUUCCAUGUGAAAUACAAGUAUUUUUGCCAUGGCAACUUAAUCUAAAAUUUUCCAUGUGAAAUACAAGUAUUUUUGCCAUGGCAAAUAUUGAUGUUUGCGAAGCACAAAACAUGACAAAAUUGCAGUCGGGGUGCAUAUCAACUUGCCGUCACUGGAAACAAAUUUGCCAUCAUUUUUAGGGGGAGGGGGACAUUUUAAUCUGUAACUUUCCAUGUGCUCCCGAACAAAACCACAAAAAUGGCAGCCUGCAACAAAAUGUUGCAGCAAAAAUGUGCCAUGGCAACAUCUACCCACAUUUGUGCAAAUUAGCAGGACACAAAUUAUAGAGGAUUCAUCUCCUGCAGCUAAUACAUACGUUCCAGUCCCCAAAGUACUACACUAAGCAACACCCCAUGUUGAUUAUCUUCUAAAAAUCCAACAAUCGGCAGGACGACAACUCGUCUCGAGAAAACUCACACUAGUUAGUAGAAGAACUGGAAUGGGAGAGGCGUGGGCACGAUUCAUACCUUAGACACGAGCUGCACAAUUUGUAGAAAACGCGGCGAGCGGUCGGCAGCGAGCGCCUCGACCCGGACGUAACCACGCUGCCGCCCGGCCUCUGGCGAGCCGCCGCUCAUGGAGACGGUCGCGCGUGGAGGGCCUCGUUCUCCGCUUCCAGGCGCGCGUGGUCGGCGACAAGCGGCUCGACCCGGUCAUACACACGCCACCGCCCGGUCUCCGGCGAGCCGCGGCUCAUGAAGACGGCCGCGCAUGGAGGGCCUCUCGUUCUCCGCUUCCAGGCGCGCGCGAUCGGCGGUGAGCGCCUUGACCCGGUCAUACCCACGCGGCCGCCCGGCCUCCGGCGAGCCGCCACUCAUGAAGACGGCCGCACGGUUCGUCUCCGUGCCCUGGCGUGCUUGGGUGGGAUCCAGCCAUCUACCGCCAUCCGGGGCUCUCCUACCACGCAUCUAGCGCGGGCUACUCGCCGGGAGUCGCCGGGAUCCGCGGGCCUCACCGUAUUAGAGGCAGCCGGGGGAGGAUAGGGGAAGAGUGGGGAAAAGGAGUGAGGCAGAGGAGUGGACGGCGUUCGGGAGAGUUCGUU
rnacentral:lncRNA from 1 species